rnacentral:rRNA from 1 species
GAUCCUGGCUCAGGAUGAACGCUAGCUACAGGCUUAACACGUGCAAGUCGAGGGGCAGCAUGGUCUUAGCUUGCUAAGGCCGAUGGCGACCGGCGCACGGGUGAGUAACACGUAUCCAACCUGCCGUCUACUCUUGGACAGCCUUCUGAAAGGAAGAUUAAUACAAGAUGGCGUCAUGAGUCCGCAUGUUCACAUGAUUAAAGGUAUUCCGGUAGACGAUGGGGAUGCGUU